rnacentral:misc_RNA from 1 species
CGAUGAUCGGCGGUGACUCCGCCACCGCUGGCGGCACCGACGGCGGCGCAGGCAAGGAGGCCAAGGACAUCCAGCGCCUCAUGAUCGGUGCCGCCGGGAAGCAGCCGCCGCAGCUCGGCGGCGGCGGGCCGAAUUGGCUCAACAACGCCGUCCUCCGCCAGCAGGGCCACCAGUACGGCGACGGCAGCUUCCUCCAUCUCCAGACCGCCUCCGACUCGUCCACCUCCCCGGUCGCCGGCGGUCGCCAGUGGCUCCCGCGCACGGCGUUCCGGAGCGCCAGCGACGACGAGGUCCCGG